UUCUUUCUUCCAUAUUUCUUUUCCCUGUCGGCUAUUUGCUCUUUCAGAUGAUGCAUUGGGUAUUACUUAUCUGAAGCCAGUGAUUUAACAGUUUAAUGUUGUUCCACGCUUUCUUGCACACAGCAGGUAUGCAACAUUCUGGACUUAAGAUACUAAACAAAAUAAUGACCCGCUGCUGGAAAUAUAAUGAAUUUUUCCUUUGGCUGGUUCUGGUUGAAACUAUAGAUUUCUCUGGAUAUUAAUGUAGUUUUUAUUGGUAAAUAGGCCAUCCAAGCUCUAGAGCUUUACUCAAGAAGUCUGGUAGCUCUUAGUGGCUGGGUUGUAAUUGUUAUGCUUCUGCUUAGUUUUGAAGCCACUGCAGGUAGAAAAAACUACUAUAUAACCCUUGGGACUACUGAUUGCAUUUAGGCAUGGUUGUGCAUUCUGACUUGAAAGCCACAACAUCUCAAUCUCAAAUAGGUCUUGUUCAGUGUUACGUUAUAUAAACAACUUUAUGAAAUAUAUUGGGUAGCCAAUCCUACUAUUACUAUUAGGGAGGGCCUAAGUUACGUUUAACGUAACUUACGCCCUCUCACAGCAACAGUACCACUGGUGGGACCGGGUACUGUUACUGUGAGAGGCGCAAGUUAUGUUAAACGUAAUUUAGCGUCAGCCUUACUAUUAUGCUCUCAACAAUUAUACAUACUCUCAUCAUCUUAUUCUGAGUGUGUCCACGCAUGGAUGCAUGUGUGUUUUUGUUUCUGUAAAUGGGGUACGCAAUCCAGAGUUCCCAAGGCUCCUAGUAUGAAAUCAUGUUGGCCAAGGUUUGAAAAUAGAGUUAUGACAGCUUAUAAUAAUCUAUACAUGACCUGGGCUUUGUUAUUCCCAUCAUCAUCAUCCCAGCUAAGCACUCUACUGUGUGAUAUUCUUUUCUUUUGUCCAAAGCAUUGUCUUAUGAACUGUCCUGCCAUAAUUCAAUGCCUAACAAGACAAACCAAGUAGUUCUAAUUCAUAUGAUUCCUUUUAAUAGAAGCAUCAAUUUUUUUUUUUGUCUAUUUCGUUUUUUUCCCCUCUUUAGAUUCUUCAACAGCUAUACAGAUGCUAAUGAGUCCAUAUGAUCCCAAUACGUCAAUGCACCAAGUAUUUGUUGUCAUUAGCCAACUAUUGUGCACUUCGCUUAAGCAUUGAUAUCAAUCCUUUCAAUUCUUUCUUUCUUUCUUUCUUUCUUUCUUUAUUUGUUUGUUUGUUAUUAAAAAUCAAGACAAUUUGUAGGAUUCAGGAAAUUCCACUUUGGUUUGUCACAAACUCAAUAGUAAUGUUGAUUGCGACGUGGCGGCUACUAAACCCCAUUCAAAAUUUCAACUCCCCAUGCAAAUUGAUGGAAUUGGACGGUAAAGCGUCGAACCAAAGGCCGCAAAGGGUACUGGGAAAUAUUUUUCAAUAUUAAAAAAUUAAUAUUUCGGGAACCACUUAUUGGUCGGCUGUUAAAAUUAAAUUAAAUCUCCUUUCCAGUGCCUUACAUGGUGUUGUAACAAUACUUACAGAUUUUUUUAUUUUUUUUAAAUCGUGAACUCAAGAAACGGUGUUAAGCAAUUCCAGGCAGUAUAGAAG
rnacentral:lncRNA from 1 species